rnacentral:rRNA from 1 species
AGAGUUUGAUCAUGGCUCAGGAUGAACGCUGGCGGUAUGCCUAACACAUGCAAGUCGAACGAUGUCUUCGGACAUAGUGGCGGACGGGUGAGUAACGCGUGAGAAUCUGCCUCUAGGAUGGGGAUAACGGUUGGAAACGACCGCUAACACCCAAUAUGCCGUAAGGUGAAAAAUUUAUUGCCUGGAGAGGAGCUCGCGUCUGAUUAGCUAGUUGGUGGGGUAAGAGCUCACCAAGGCUUCGAUCAGUAGCUGGUCUGAGAGGAUGAGCAGCCACACUGGGACUGAGACACGGCCCAGACUCCUACGGGAGGCAGCAGUGGGGAAUUUUCCGCAAUGGGCGAAAGCCUGACGGAGCAAUACCGCGUGAGGGAGGAAUGCCUUUGGGCUGUAAACCUCUUUUCUCAGGGAAGAAGAUCUGACGGUACCUGAGGAAUAAGUAUCGGCUAACUCCGUGCCAGCAGCCGCGGUAAUACGGAGGAUGCAAGCGUUAUCCGGAAUCAUUGGGCGUAAAGCGUCCGCAGGUGGUUUCCAAAGUCUGCUGUUAAAGACUGGAGCUCAACUCCGGAACGGCGGUGGAAACUUGGAAACUAGAGUUCGGUAGGGGUAGCAGGAAUUCCCAGUGUAGCGGUGAAAUGCGUAGAUAUUGGGAAGAACAUCGGUGGCGAAGGCGUGCUACUGGACCGUAACUGACACUCAGGGACGAAAGCUAGGGGAGCGAAAGGGAUUAGAUACCCCUGUAGUCCUAGCUGUAAACGAUGGAAACUAGGUGUGGCUUG